UUAAAUUAGGUUGCUGAAAUAAAUCUCUUCACCUGUCAUGCUGUCUCGAAUGACCUCCUCAUCGAAUUUCUAAUCGAUAUCCGACCUCACUUUUUCUUACCGUUAGCAAGUUAGCUAACGUGUCAAACGUACCCAGCAACCAGGCAUACUGCUCCCGUAAUCAAGUUUCCUGCUGGAGUCGGGCUGUUGAUUCUUGUCUAGCCCAUGAUGACUGGUUGAAAGGACAUUACAAAAUAGGCUACGUCAAUUCACCACAAGUCAAAAUCAGAUCAACAGACAGGGACAUCGGCCUUCUCUUGGGAAUAUGCCAGAUAUGCCAUAACAAGAAAAAAUGGUAAGUCUAUCACUACAUAAGAUCCAUAACAAAAUACUAUUAGUUAAAUC